rnacentral:snRNA from 1 species
GGGCUUGUUAUAAUAGCACAUAUGCCAAAAUUGGAGUGAUCAGAAAUUAGCAUGGCCCCUGUGCAAGGAUGACAUGCAAAUUUGAGAAACUUUCAGGACGGCA